GACGAACGCUGGCGGCGUGCUUAACACAUGCAAGUCGAACGGAAAGGCCCUGCUUUUGUUGGUUGCUCGAGUGGCGAACGGGUGAGUAACACGUGAGUAACCUGCCCUUGACUUUGUGAUAACUUCAGGAAACUGGGGCUAAUACCGGAUAGGAGCUCCUGCUGCAUGUUGGGCGUUGGUAAGUUUCGGCGGUUGGGGAUGGACUCGCGGCUUAUCAGCUUGUUGGUGGGGUAGUGGCUUACCAAGGCUUUGACGGGUAGCCGGCCUGAGAGGGUGACCGGCCACAUUGGGACUGAGAUACGGCCCAGACUCCUACGGGAGGCAGCAGUGGGGAAUAUUGCACAGUGGGCGGAAGCCUGAUGCAGCAACGCCGCGUGCGGGAUGACGGCCUUCGGGUUGUAAACCGCUUUCGCCUGUGACGAAGCGGGAGUGACGGUAAUGGGUAAAGAAGCACCGGCUAACUACGUG
rnacentral:rRNA from 1 species